rnacentral:rRNA from 1 species
UACGUAGGGAGCAAGCGUUGUCCGGAAUCAUUGGGCGUAAAGCGCGCGUAGGCGGACCUGCAAGUCGGGGGUGAAAGCCCGAGGCUCAGCCUCGGAACUGCCUUCGAUACUGCGGGUCUCGAGUCCGGGAGAGGUGAGUGGAAUUCCUAGUGUAGAGGUGAAAUUCGUAGAUAUUAGGAAGAACACCAGUGGCGAAGGCGGCUCACUGGCCCGGUACUGACGCUGAGGCGCGAAAGCGUGGGGAGCAAACAGG